rnacentral:rRNA from 1 species
GACAGAGGUGCCAAGCGUUAGGCGGAAUCACUGGGCUUAAAGCGUGUGUAGGCGGAUCGUUAAGUACCUUGUGAAAUCCCACGGCUCAACCGUGGAACUGCUGGGUAUACUGGCGAUCUUGAGCCACCUAGGGGCGAGCGGAACAAGCGGUGGAGCGGUGAAAUGCGUAGAUAUCGCUUGGAACGCCAAUGGUGAAAACAGGUAGCUGGGAGUGUGCUGACGCUGAGACACGAAAGCCAGGGGAGCAAACGGG